rnacentral:rRNA from 1 species
AUUGAACGCUGGCGGCAUGCCUUACACAUGCAAGUCGAACGGUAACAGGUCUUCGGAUGCUGACGAGUGGCGAACGGGUGAGUAAUGCAUCGGAACGUGCCCAGUUGUGGGGGAUAACUGCUCGAAAGAGCAGCUAAUACCGCAUACGACCUGAGGGUGAAAGCGGGGGAUCGCAAGACCUCGCGCGAUUGGAGCGGCCGAUGUCAGAUUAGGUAGUUGGUGGGGUAAAGGCGCACCAAGCCAACGAUCUGUAGCUGGUCUGAGAGGACGACCAGCCACACUGGGACUGAGACACGGCCCAGACUCCUACGGGAGGCAGCAGUGGGGAAUUUUGGACAAUGGGGGCAACCCUGAUCCAGCAAUGCCGCGUGCAGGAAGAAGGCCUUCGGGUUGUAAACUGCUUUUGUACGGAACGAAACGGUCUGGGUUAAUACCCUGGGCUAAUGACGGUACCGUAAGAAUAAGCACCGGCUAACUACGUGCCAGCCGCCGCGGUAAAAC